CUGGAAGUGGCAUGUGCGACUUGAUGUGGCGUUGCAUGUGGGAGGCUCCGUUUGUAAUGUUCGCAGACUGGUCAAUUGAUGAUACGUGUGAACAGUGGUAGUGCUUGGGUGCCUCAAGAGGGAAUCGCAGAACAUAGCCAUAGAGCUAAAAGUCAUAGAAGAUUUUAAAACUGUUAUUUGAUUUUGUGUUGUUUCAGCAGUAGUAUGUCCUUCAACAAUCUGUUAUGUCCAAACAUGGAAUGAGUCGCAUGUGACUAAGUCAACCAAAUGUGGCAACAACAAUUAGUCAGCAAGGGAAUUAGUCAGUGAAAAACAACACAUUCAUUCCUGAGGAUGGUUUCGAGUUUAUCUAUGCUUAUUGCCAACUGGAAGGAUUCCUCUUUUUCACAUAACUUUACCAUUUUCAUGGUAUACUUAACUGCUUGUCAGCGGAUUGUCACUUGGCAUCAUUAGAAUGGUAUGGUCCAUAUCAGCAGUGUUAUGAUGCACUUCUUAAAUACACCAAUCCCUCAGAAAAUAUUCUAAUUGAAAUUGUGGAAAUUUCUGCCCUUCAUGCAGAACUGCACAAUGAUGGGUUCGUAUAAACAAGCUUGAAAUGACAAACCAACAGUAUUUUUGGUUUGGCUUACACAUGUUGACAUACUAUGACACGUUGAUGUUAGCUAAAUUGUUAUUAAUCAUAGGGGAAGCUUUUCCUGCUUCUUACGAAAAGGGACAUUGGAUGCCUUAAUGUCUAAUACCAACCAAGUGUCAUUGCAAAGAUAGGUCAAAGAUAUAUUAAUAUAGAUUGCGCUCUGAGUGAUGGUGACAUGGUAUCUUACUGAUUUCUAUUGGUUUUAUUUGUGGAAAGAAUAUCCUGAGCGGGAGAAUUGGAUCACAAUUGACUAGAUGUUUUACUAUUUUAAAUGAGUUAAUCACAAAGAAUUUUUUAGUGAUUCAUGUUCUGUUUCUGUAAUGUAGGUAGAAUAAUCGCAAUGUCGGGGUUCUUAUUCGCGAGAGAUAUGCCAACUGUUUUCAAUUCGCAAUCGUAAUGGAUUUGAAGAGGAUAUUGAUGGAGUUUUGGUAUAAAAAAGUACAUGCUCGUUGGAAGGGCACCGAAGAGUUCCGGAUACUUUUACCAUCGCACAUGUUAUGGUAUUUUUACAAAAAUCAUUGAAGUACUUAUUUGGAACCCCUUGUUUUCUGUGGCCCCGUUUCCCCCUUGACUUAUAUUUUUUUCUUUAACCCUUUAGUGCGUGUAAAACUAAAGGCUAAAAGAAGAAGAAUGAUUCAAAAACUGUGGGAGAGAAUCAUCAAAGAAUUAUACUCGUUUAGGUAAUCCUUUCGGAUUCGAUUCCGCCGUUUAUGCUGCCCUUUUCUAUAAAGCACUUCUACAGAGUGACGACUCGUUGCGAGUGCAUGACAUCCAUAUCGAUAACGGUUUCCUGCGUAAAGACGAAUCCGAGCAAGUCGUCACUAGUUUACAGCAACUCGGGCUCAAUCUUCGGAGCUCUUUUCCAGACAGUGGCUUCUCAUUUCUAUUGUCAUACCAGCGAUCAGAUUUGAUGUUUCGAAUUGUUUUGGGUUGCUAAAGCAAGAUUGACUUUCUACGAUGCUUCCACCAACGUGCAUGGUCGCCAAACCUUGUUCGUUGUGUCGGACUGUAAAUCCGGAAGAUAAACGUCGAAUUAUUGGCGAUAUGUUUGUCAAAGUGAUAGAUAGAACGGCUAACGAUUUGAAUGUCACUUGGGAUAAUCUACUUCUCGGACAAGCUGUCCCGUCAGCUGUUCCAUUUCGCGUGGCUUCGGACAGAGGAUGGCUGCUGAAACGAACGUCUCUUCUUGAAAUUUUACCUCUGAUUCCGUGUAUUUUGAGUUGCAUCUUGCGAAUUCAAUCAAUGCAGAGUUGUUCAAGGAGGAACAUGGCUUGGCUUUGCUAGCACGUUUUUCAUCUCCGUUAGUCUGAUAUACCCAUUUUGUUUCAAAGGUGAUAGGU
rnacentral:lncRNA from 1 species